rnacentral:tRNA from 1 species
AGAGCUUUAGUUUAGAUAGAAUUUUUGACUGUUAAUCAAAAGGAGGUGAUGCGCCAGGCUCAA